rnacentral:miRNA from 1 species
CCCUCCAGUAGCCAAGUUUGUAUGACCUAUGCAACCAGAAGUGACUCCUUCUGGUCGUCCAGGUUGUACUACCUCUGCAUCUGGGCGCAGAGGUAAUAAAACCUCAACAACCGGAAGGAUUCACUUCUGGUUGCAGAGGUGAUAAAUACUUGGCGACUGGAGGG